rnacentral:rRNA from 1 species
GAUGAACGCUGGCGGCGUGCCUAAUACAUGCAAGUCGAGCGAACAGACGAGGAGCUUGCUCCUCUGACGUUAGCGGCGGACGGGUGAGUAACACGUGGAUAACCUACCUAUAAGACUGGGAUAACUUCGGGAAACCGGAGCUAAUACCGGAUAAUAUAUUGAACCGCAUGGUUCAAUAGUGAAAGACGGUUUUGCUGUUACUUAUAGAUGGAUCCGCGCCGCAUUAGCUAGUUGGUAAGGUAACGGCUUACCAAGGCAACGAUGCGUAGCCGACCUGAGAGGGUGAUCGGCCACACUGGAACUGAGACACGGUCCAGACUCCUACGGGAGGCAGCAGUAGGGAAUCUUCGGCAAUGGGCGAAAGCCUGACGGAGCAACGCCGCGUGAGUGAUGAAGGUCUUCGGAUCGUAAAACUCUGUUAUUAGGGAAGAACAAAUGUGUAAGUAACUAUGCACGUCUUGACGGUACCUAAUCAGAAAGCCACGGCUAACUACGUG